CAGACCACACUCUGUAGAUCACUUAUAUAGUGCAUUUCCGAGUUUUACACGAUCAAUCGUGGGUCACUUCCUUUCACCUGAGUCGAUGAAGACACAGCGCGCACCCCAGAGACAGUGACGAUUGGGCCCGGAGACCUUGGUCUCUUGUGUCGCCCUUGGACGAGCUGCAAACCGUCGACCGCUUGGGUGGCUUCGUGCUCCCACGGUUCAGCGGAGGGGACUGUGCCUGGUUUCUGAUCAGG
rnacentral:snoRNA from 1 species